CUGAUCUUUCUCUCUGAGCUUGAUAAUGGCGCAAUCAAAGGGAUGGAUUCAGAACGAGGAUGUGGUGUGAAUGAUAAUGAAUCCGAUUUAAGCAUAAAUAUGAUACCUUGACGGAAGAGAUAUACGCUUAAUGCAUGAAGAAAGGACAGAAGCUUUGACUUUUCUUCUCACGGUUUUUUUUUUUUGAGUUAUUCCUCAAAGUCUUG